AAGUCGUAACAAGGUUUCCGUAGGUGAACCUGCGGAAGGAUCAUUAAAAAUGAAGCCGGGAAACCGGUCCUUCUCACCCUUGAUUAUCUCAAUUUGUUGCUUUGGUGGGCCGCGCAAGCACCGGCUUCGGCUGGAUCGUGCCCGCCAGAGGACCACAACUCUGUAAUAUAUGUCGUCUGAGUACUAUAAAAUAGUUAAAACUUUCAACAACGGAUCUCUUGGUUCUGGC
rnacentral:misc_RNA from 1 species